CACCGUACGGGGGCGUACCAGUUUACUUUCACCUCGAGGUAAGGGGGUGGGGCUGCAAGCUCCAGUGGCUCUGCGGCAUCCUUACACAGCAGUAUGGUAAGGGGGCCUGGCAGGGCUGGGAGGAGGGGUUGGAUAAGGGACAGGGAGUGGGGAGAGGGGGGCAGUCAGGG